CGAUGAUUGCCAGUAUCUGCCGACCAUUUGAGAUGAAACAAGCUGUGAGACAGUGUAGCUGGAAAAGAGCACAUGCUCCUUGGAAAGCAGUUAUUAUUGUUAAUUCAUUAUAUGAUGCUCCAAUUAAAGUUCAUCCCAUAUUUUUAGAAAAAACUGGAUGAACUGACCACGUGAGGUGUUGCAUGCAGUGAGAAACCUGUGGACAAUUUUCACCUGUUGAUUUGCUUUAGCUGUUUUUGCUAAUUGGUUUGUUUUCAGGUCAACUUUAAGAUGCAGUGUUUAAAUCUAACGGCACGAGGAUUUCUGUUGUCUCCACGAAACAUUUGAACAAAUCUCUGGUUAACACAACUCAGCAUUACCUGCUAAAAAUAUCUCCCCCAACAGCUGGUAGAGUCCAAAAUGAAGUUUUUUGGUCCAUAUUAACAUAAUAGCAUCACACAGAUACUGCACAUUUGUCAGGUGCUCAUCCAUAAUGAAAAACACUCAGACCAGUCCAUCUGGCACCACAUUCAAAGUUACUUAAAGGAGCAGUCCCCAACCCUCGGGCCAUGGACUGGUCCCGGUCUGUGAGUCGUUGCGAGAGUUGAGGCUCGGGUUGACAUUUAUGGUUUUCAGGGUUUUUAUUGUUUGUUUGUUUUUUAAAUCGUUUUUAUCAUUAACUCAGGUUCCCUGGGUCUUUUCCUGUGCAUCAUGAAUAAAUGUUCGUUUUUGUUUGUUUUUUUUUUUGGGUAUCAGCACUGGUUUUAUUUUGUUGUAUUUAUCUGCAACACUUUAAAGGCCGGUCCGUGAAAAUAUUGUUGGACAAAAACCGGUCCGUGGUGCAAAAAAGUUUGGGGACUGCUGACUAAAGUACUUUUUUUUUCCUCCUGAAAAGAAGGAGGAGAGGGACCUGCUUUGAACUUCAGCAGAUCAUGUUGACCAAAUCUACAUGCCUAAAUUAUCUGAUCAGCUGCCAUGUGAUUGGCUGAUCGGAUAUUUGCGUUGAAGCAGUUGAAUGGUGUACUGACUGAAGUGGCCAGAGAAUAUGUUUAUCUACCUAUUUUCAGAGGUGGGAAAAAGAAAACAUCACCUAAACUGCCAGCUCAAUUGACCGAGCAAAGACGUUGUAUUAAUGUUAAAUUGUCAUCUUCACUGUUGGAGUAUUCAGCAUUAUAUAUUUGAACUUUGAUGGUGACUGAUUUUGUCAUUUAUGGUACGUAAACAAAAGUUAAAAUUGUUAAUGAGCUAACAGAAAUAGUCUAUCUGGACUGAGACAGGCUGACAGGAACCUGAAAGGACUUUCUGUUAAAUCUGUUUAACAGAUUAACUAAAUUAAACUCACUGGUUUGAUUAAGAACACUGUCAGGUGUCAUUAUCAGCUUCCAAGACUUGAUUAAUCCUGGACUAAAAGGAAAGACACUGAAGGCUUCCACAGAAAAACUUUGACUUGU
ensembl:lncRNA